rnacentral:rRNA from 1 species
CGAGUUUGAUCCUGGCUCAGAAGAAACGCUUGCGGUUUGCCUUAUACAUGCAAGUUGGACGCUCGGGUAUGAGCGUAGCAUACGGGUGCGGAAUACCUGGGAAUCUACCCCUCAGUAUGGGCCAAAAUGCCUUGAGUAAUCAAGGGUUGAAUCCUGUAUACGUUGAAGGGUGUUGCACACCGCUGAGGGAUGAGCCCAGGGAGGAUUAGGUAGUUGGUGUGGGAAGGGCGCACCAAGCCGACGAUCCUUCGCUGGCCUGAGAGGGUGGUCAGCCACACUGGGACUGAGACACGGCCCAGACUCCUUUGGGAGGCAGCAGUAGGGAAUAUUGGACAAUGGGCGAAAGCCUGAUCCAGCAAGACCGCGUGGGUGAUGAAGGGCAUCUGCUCGUAAAGCCCAAACCCAGGAUAUAGAUCAUGCCAUGAUCCUGGGAAAAGCCCCGGCAAAUUCCGUGCCAGCAGCCGCGGUAAGACGGGAGGGGCAAGUGUUCUUCGGAAUGACUGGGCGUACAGGGUACGUAGGCGGGCAUCUGUGUUGUCUGUGAAAGCCCAAGGCCUAACCUUGGGACUGCGGGCAAAACUGGAUGUCUUUGGGUUGGGCAGGGGAGAGUGGAAUUCCCUGUGGAGGGGUAGAAUCCAUCGAGAUAGGGAGGAAGGCCGAACGCGAAGGCAGCUCUCUGGGCCCAAACCGACGCUGAGGUACGAAAGCAUGGGGAGCAAACAGGAUUAGAUACCCUGGUAGUCCAUGCUGUCAACGAUGAGUGCUCGCGUUGUGGGUAUACCCUGCGACGCCACGCUAAGGCAUGAAGCACUCCGCCUGGGGAGUACGGUCGCAAGGCUGAAACUCAAAGGAAUUGACGGGGGCCCACACAAGCGGUGGAGCAUGUGGUUUAAUUCGAAACAACGCGCAGAACCUUACCAGCCUUUGCAAUACACAUAGACACCGGGUUAUGCCAGUGCUCUUGUGUGUACAGGUGCUGCAUGGCUGUCGUCAGCUCGUGCCGUGAGGCGUCGGGUUCAGUCCUUGAACGAGCGAAACCCUUACCCUCUGUUGCUAUCGAGAUCAAGGUCUCGAGCACUCUGGGGGGACUGCCGGCGAGAUGCCGGAGGAAGGUGGGGAUGACGUCAAGUCCUCAUGGCCCUUAUAGGCUGGGCUACACACGUGCUACAGUGGGAGGUACAACAAGAUGCAAGGGCGCGAGCCGGAGCGAAUCUCGAAAUCCUCUCAUGGUUCGGAGCGUUCUCUGCAACUCGAGAACGUGAAGUUGGAAUCGCUAGUAAUCGCGGAUCAGCAUGCCGCGGUGAAUCUGUACCUGGGCCUUGUACACACCGCCCGUCACACCCUGGGAAUACAUCAACCCCAAUACCAUAACUAGAUACACCAGCACCCGUGUUUGUGUGCAAGGUUGUGAUCACGGGUUGGUGUGUGACUGAGGUGAAGUCGAAACAAGGUAGCGGUACCGGUAGGUGCCGCUG